CUGCUAAGACUGGAUAGGAAACAAAAAGGCAUCUUUUUGUUUUUAAAAGACCUUCUUAUGAAGGUAUGCUUAAAGAGGGGCUUGCGCCACAUUAGUUAGUUGGUAGGGUAAAAGCCUACCAAGACGAUGAUGUGUAGCUGGACUGAGAGGUUGAACAGCCACAUUGGGACUGAGACACGGCCCAAACUCCUACGGGAGGCAGCAGUAGGGAAUUUUCGGCAAUGGAGGAAACUCUGACCGAGCAACGCCGCGUGAACGAUGAAGUAUUUCGGUAUGUAAAGUUCUUUUAUUGAAGAAGAAAAAGUAGUGGAAAAACUAUAUUGACGUUAUUCAAUGAAUAAGCCCCGGCUAACUAUGUGCCAGCAGCCGCGGUAAGACAUAGGGGGCGAGCGUUAUCCGGAAUUAUUGGGCGUAAAGGGUGCGUAGGCUGUUAGAUAAGUCUAUAAUUUAAUUUCAGUGCUUAACGCUGUCUUGUUAUAGAAACUGUCUUGACUAGAGUGAGAUAGAGGCAAGCGGAAUUCCAUGUGUAGCGGUAAAAUGUGUAAAUAUAUGGAGGAACACCAGAAGCGUAGGCGGCUUGCUGGGUCUUUACUGACGCUGAGGCACGAAAGCGUGGGUAGCAAACAGGAUUAGAUACCCUGGUAGUCCACGCCGUAAACGAUGAGUACUAAGUGUCGGGGUAAAACUCGGUACUGAAGUUAACACAUUAAGUACUCCGCCUGAGUAGUACGUACGCAAGUAUGAAACUUAAAGGAAUUGACGGGACUCCGCACAAGCGGUGGAUCAUGUUGUUUAAUUCGAAGAUACACGAAAAAUCUUACCAGGUCUUGACAUACUCUGCAAAGCUAUAGAAAUAUAGUGGAGGUUAUCAGGGAUACAGGUGGUGCAUGGUUGUCGUCAGUUCGUGUCGUGAGAUGUUAGGUUAAGUCCUAAAACGAGCGCAACCCUUGUCGUUAAUUGCCAGCACGUAAUGGUGGGGACUUUAGCGAGACUGCCAAUUAAACAUUGGAGGAAGGUGAGGAUUACGUCAAAUCAUCAUGCCCCUUAUGAUCUGGGCUACAAACGUGAUACAAUGGCUGUGACAAAGAGUAGCUGAAACGCGAGUUUUUAGCCAAUCUCAAAAAAGCAGUCUCAGUUCGGAUUGAAGUCUGUAACUCGACUUCAUGAAGUUGGAAUCGCUAGUAAUCGCGAAUCAGCAUGUCGCGGUGAAUACGUUCUCGGGGUUUGUACACACCGCCCGUCAAA
rnacentral:rRNA from 1 species